CCGAGUUUACACAACUCCCAAACCCACUGUGAACUUUACCGAAUCGUUGCUUCGGCGGGACACGCCCCGGGCCCUAGCCGCCCGGAACCAGGCGCCCGCCGGAGGAUCCAACAAACUCUUGUUUUUUUAGUAUUAUCUGAGUGACAAGUUUAAUAAAUCA
rnacentral:misc_RNA from 1 species